rnacentral:rRNA from 1 species
CCAAUAGCGUAUAUUAAAGUUGUUGCAGUUAAAAAGCUCGUAGUUGAAUUUCGGGAUUGACGUGACGGUCGUGCCUUACGGGGUAUGAACUGUCGCCGUUGAUUUCUCACCUUCUGGAGAAGCUCGAUGUCCUUAAUUGGGUGUCUUGCGGAACCAGGACCUUUACCUUGAAAAAAUUAGAGUGUUUAAAGCAGGCAUUUUGCUCGAAUACAUUAGCAUGGAAUAAUAGAAUAGGACGGCAUGGUUCUAUUUUGUUGGUUUCUAGGAUCACCGUAAUGAUUAAUAUGGAUAGUUGGGGGCAUUAGUAUUCAAUUGUCAGAGGUGAAAUUCUUGGAUUUAUUGAAGACUAACUACUGCGAAAGCAUUUGCCAAGGAUGUUUUCAUUAAUCAAGAACGAAAGUUAGGGUAUCGAAGACGAUCAGAUACCGUCGUAGUCUUAACCAUAAACUAUGCCGACUAGGAAUCAGACGAUGUUAAUUUUUUAAUGACUCGUUUGGCACCUUACG